rnacentral:rRNA from 1 species
AUGCAGCUGGUUGGUGGGGGCCACACCAUUGUCUCUGUUAAUGAUAAUGUCAGUGUCUACUUCAAGGGUCGGGGCCUUAGGCAAGGGGACCCCAUCUCUCCCCUUCUUUUCAAUUUUAUGGCUAAUGCCUUUUCGUGCAUCCUUAAUCGUGUGGCUGCUAGUGGCCAUAUUACACCAGUAGUCUCUCAUCUCAUACCCUCGGGUGUUUCUCAUCUGCAAUACGCGGAUGAUACCAUCAUUCUGGUGGAGAAAUUUGACUAG